rnacentral:snoRNA from 1 species
AAUCCAUGAUGAGGGCAUUGAGCUUGGUAGCCUUUGAAUCUCUCCCAGGCUUCACUGAAUCCUUCCAAGCAUUUCUGUUGAAAGCUGGAGAUCUCAUUUCUCAGCUU